rfam:Acidobacteria bacterium 13_1_20CM_58_21 13_1_20cm_full_scaffold_1091, whole genome shotgun sequence.
UUUCGAUUUGGCGAUGGAGUUCGCCAUAACCGCCCCGGUGAUGUUCCCCGGUGCUGAUGACUCCUGGCAGCCC